rnacentral:rRNA from 1 species
ACGCAAUAGAUACCCUGGUAGUCCACGCCCUAAACGAUGUCUACUAGUUGUUGGGAGAGUAAAAUCUCUUAGUAAACGCAGCUAAACGCGUGAAGUAGACCGCCUGGGGAGUACGGUCGCAAGAUUAAAAACUCAAAGGAAUUGACGGGGGCCCGCACAAGCGGUGGAUUAUGUGGAUUAAAUUCGAUGCAACGCGAAAAACCUUACCUGGCCUUGACAUGCUACUAACGAAGCGGAGAUGCAUUAGGUGCCCGAAAGGGAAAGUAGACACAGGUGCUGCAUGGCUGUCGUCAGCUCGUGUCGUGAGAUGUUGGGUUAAGUCCCGCAACGAGCGCAACCCUUGCCAAUAAUUGCCAUCAUUUAGUUGGGCACUUUAUU